GCCGUGACGGAUGAGGCGGAGCCGCUGUGAGGAGAGAAGGAGGUGCUGCCGUGACGGGUACAAUGGAACUGAUGGUCCUUAUGUUCCUCAAGAGUGAGAGGUAUUAUGGACAAACUGGCACGGGAAGGUUUUUGCAUCAUGUUUUGGUUAAAACUUCCAUUCCCAUCGGAGGA